CAGUUGCUCAAGUGAAAACAAUUUGGAUACCAAAGGAAAAGGGGUAUUGCUUUGUUUCGCUUCAUGAUGAAACAUCUGCUGAUUUUGUAUUGAGUCUGAAUGAAAAAAUCUGCAUUAACGGAAACGCAUUGAAGAUAACGAGAUGGAGAAGAAAAAGCCGCCUGCCCGAAACCCCAAGGCGAACAACAGCACCAACCUGUAAGCAACAGGUAAACAAUGAUGUAUUUGUUUUACGGGGAUACGAAACGUACACAAACUACAAAUGCCAGCGACCUCAGAAUGAUGUACUCUAUCAGUACAUCCAACAGACGCCCAAGCAAAAAAGGCUGAAGAGGAAACCGUGGAAAGAUAUGAAUCGUCUUUCUCAACUGU